AGCUAAUGAUUUAGAUUCAAAAAUUCAAUAGCAAGGAUGAAAGUGGUUUUAAUAGCAAACAACCAAGAAUUGUUCAUGUGACAAGAGCAGCAAAUUGUAGCCAGUCUAACAGUAACUGUUUAACGUGCACAGUCUGUCGAUCCUGGUGAUCAUGAGGAUUUAUCUCAAGUGGCAAAAUUAAUCGACAAAUAGUUUUAGUCACAAAACACAGGAGUUUAAAGAUUCCCAGUAAAGUGCUAAGUGUAUUUAUUAUGCCACACACAGUGCAUGGUAGUAACAUAGAACUAUCUUCAUUUGAAGCUUUGUUUGGUAGCAGGGGCAAAACUACCCCCUUUUAAUUUGGGAGUGUCUGCCAGAAUUGCCCUGCCCAAACCGAUGAUGCCCUGCAGCGAAUUUUCAUUU